GUACAAAAUGUAAGCCUAAUUUUUCAUGGUUACUGUGUAAUGAAUAAUGAGUGCAUGUAGAUCAGCUCAGAUGACAUACAUUUUCUUCACAAUGAGAAGGAGACUUCCUGAAUGAGAGAUUAAAAACUAACUGGAUUUUAGCCCCAAAGCUUUCCAGGCAGCAGUUUAGCUCUCACUUCGCAGUCAAAAGUAUAUUUUUAAAAGAAUGGAGAACUGGAACAGGUUUUAAUGCUACAAAAUAGACGGCUCAGUGCUAGAACUUUGGAAUUUCUGACUGGGUCCUUGGCACUCUUGAAACUCUCCAGGCCACAGCCCUACAGAAAGUCAGCACAGGUAAAAUGUGAAGAGGAGUCAAAAGGUGUCCAUAAACAAAAAGAGAUUGUUAAGAAGAUUGAACUGCAGUUUGUUGCCAGUGGCUCAGAAGAACUACAGAGUAAACAUGCCUUUCAUUAA
rnacentral:lncRNA from 1 species